ACCGAACAUCGAAAUCUUGAUGUUGCCGGACGCUGUCCUGUCUGAAAUUCUACUCCACGUGGUCCUUGAGGAGGGGGAUGGAUAGAAGUCUGGUGGAUACAGACUCAUUUAGGAGGAGGGCACACUUCUGCUGGCUUGACAGUGUAACAAAUUGGAGAAGGAAGACUUAUCAAGACUAUUAUCAGAUGUACACACUGCAGCCCUGCAGACACUGCAAUGACGUUUACAAGAACUGCUUACCAGGUGUAUCAAUUAUGAAAAAUGUGCUUAAUGACAACAUGGAAUUAAUAGUCAUUCAUGUGGCUGCAUCCAUGUGUCCUGUUAUUAAGGUAAUUUGGAUAUUAAUGUCACAAUUUUCUUAUGAAUCCUCUAGGUUAUGUUGGAAGAGGAAAACGAGGAGAAAUCCAAGGCUUUUACUCGGAAAACACCCAUCCAGGGUUUUGCAGUGAUUGGUGUCAGCUGCUGGAGAGUGAAAAUUCAUUCACUCUUCCAGGUCCAGUC